AACGCGAAGAACCUUACCAGGUCUUGACAUCCUCUGACAACUCUAGAGAUAGAGCGUUCCCCUUCGGGGGACAGAGUGACAGGUGGUGCAUGGUUGUCGUCAGCUCGUGUCGUGAGAUGUUGGGUUAAGUCCCGCAACGAGCGCAACCCUUGAUCUUAGUUGCCAGCAUUUAGUUGGGCACUCUAAGGUGACUGCCGGUGACAAACCGGAGGAAGGUGGGGAUGACGUCAAAUCAUCAUGCCCCUUAUGACCUGGGCUACACACGUGCUACAAUGGAUGGUACAAAGGGCUGCAAGACCGCGAGGUCAAGCCAAUCCCAUAAAACCAUUCUCAGUUCGGAUUGUAGGCUGCAACUCGCCUACAUGAAGCUGGAAUCGCUAGUAAUCGCGGAUCAGCAUGCCGCGGUGAAUACGUUCCCGGGUCUUGUACACACCG
rnacentral:rRNA from 4 species